GACGAGGCACUACGGUGCUGAAGCAACAAAUGCCCUGCUUCCAGGAAAAGCCUCUAAGCAUCAGGUAACAUCAAAUCGUACCCCAAACCGACACAGGUGGUCAGGUAGAGAAUACCAAGGCGCUUGAGAGAACUCGGGUGAAGGAACUAGGCAAAAUGGUGCCGUAACUUCGGGAGAAGGCACGCUGACACGUAGGUGAAGUGAUUUACUCAUGGAGCUGAAGUCAGUCGAAGAUACCAGCUGGCUGCAACUGUUUAUUAAAAACACAGCACUGUGCAAACACGAAAGUGGACGUAUACGGUGUGACGCCUGCCCGGUGCCGGAAGGUUAAUUGAUGGGGUCAGCGCAAGCGAAGCUCCUGAUCGAAGCCCCGGUAAACGGCGGCCGUAACUAUAACGGUCCUAAGGUAGCGAAAUUCCUUGUCGGGUAAGUUCCGACCUGCACGAAUGGCGUAAUGAUGGCCAGGCUGUCUCCACCCGAGACUCAGUGAAAUUGAACUCGCUGUGAAGAUGCAGUGUACCCGCGGCAAGACGGAAAGACCCCGUGAACCUUUACUAUAGCUUGACACUGAACAUUGAGCCUUGAUGUGUAGGAUAGGUGGGAGGCUUUGAAGUGUGGACGCCAGUCUGCAUGGAGCCGACCUUGAAAUACCACCCUUUAAUGUUUGAUGUUCUAACGUGGACCCGUUACCCGGGUUGCGGACAGUGUCUGGUGGGUAGUUUGACUGGGGCGGUCUCCUCCUAAAGAGUAACGGAGGAGCACGAAGGUUGGCUAAUCCUGGUCGGACAUCAGGAGGUUAGUGCAAUGGCAUAAGCCAGCUUGACUGCGAGCGUGACGGCGCGAGCAGGUGCGAAAGCAGGUCAUAGUGAUCCGGUGGUUCUGAAUGGAAGGGCCAUCGCUCAACGGAUAAAAGGUACUCCGGGGAUAACAGGCUGAUACCGCCCAAGAGUUCAUAUCGACGGCGGUGUUUGGCACCUCGAUGUCGGCUCAUCACAUCCUGGGGCUGAAGUAGGUCCCAAGGGUAUGGCUGUUCGCCAUUUAAAGUGGUACGCGAGCUGGGUUUAGAACGUCGUGAGACAGUUCGGUCCCUAUCUGCCGUGGGCGCUGGAGAACUGAGGGGGGCUGCUCCUAGUACGAGAGGACCGGAGUGGACGCAUCACUGGUGUUCGGGUUGUCAUGCCAAUGGCACUGCCCGGUAGCUAAAUGCGGAAGAGAUAAGUGCUGAAAGCAUCUAAGCACGAAACUUGCCCCGAGAUGAGUUCUCCCUGAGACUUAGAGUCUCCUGAAGGAACGUUGAAGACGACGACGUUGAUAGGCCGGGUGUGUAAGCGCAGCGAUGCGUUGAGCUAACCGGUACUAAUGAACCGUGAGGCUUAACCUUACAACGCCGAAG
rnacentral:rRNA from 6 species